UGCACACGUAGUGUAUAACACAUCUAUUAGGUACUGUAAAGAACUAGGGGGAUAGUCCAUUAAAUGAAUGGGUGAGGUCUGAUCAUCUCUUUUAAGGCUACACAGAAAGGUGCUGCUGCACCUUCUCUCCUUCUCCUCACCCCUUGCAGGGCUUUUCUCACACAUUUUUCCCCACUCCUCACUGUUGUGCAGUGUUUUGCCCCCAGCCUUUCUCCAAGGCCCCAGCAUCAUGGCUGCAGGGCCCAACCAUACCCUGUGGUGAGCCCUGGCCUAGCCUUGUGCAGGAGCCCUGCAGUCUUCUGCCAGCCUGAAGCACCUGCUUGCAGUGCAGAAGGGGACAAUAACAAGGCCUGGACUCUCCACCUGUCCUGCCUUUGCCGUGUAUUGUUACGACCUUUGAGAGUUUCACAAGGUUGGAUGGUUUUUGGCUUUGGCCCUGAGUGGGAAAGCGUGAGACCUGCUGCAUUAGGCAAGGAAGACCUUGGACUGGGAUCAAAAUAUAAUAUUGUGCCACAUCCCAGAUGGACAUUAAGCACAUUGCAUCAGGGUUUGAGCACACCUUGGUCUGAGACCUGA
rnacentral:lncRNA from 1 species